rnacentral:lncRNA from 1 species
UAAAGUAGGCAAAAAGUUAAAAGGAUAAAUGGUUACAGGAAAGUAAACAGUACUAGGUGCAGGGGCUUUAAUUCUAUCACAAGGUGAUAGAAGCGGGGCUUUGGGCUUUAUCAACCAGACACAAACGCGGGGGGCUCUGGGUGCUGUUAACCGGGCGAAUUCCUGGGAACUGCGGGUAUGGCUUGCCACAGUACCUUAUCAGUUAAUUGCAUUCUUGGAUGUGCUGGGAGUCAGCUUGCACAAGUUAAGUCCCUGAGGAAGCGGGUGGGUAAGGGGCUGCAAGUGAAGGAGCCGAGAUGCAGACUGUCUGGCUCUUUCAGCUAAGGGAGAGUCAACUCAGGUUAAAACAAGGAGAAAAUGCCACAGCUCUGGGAGGAAGCCCGAGGAGGAGCAGCGCAUCCUGGAGACACCGGUGCGCCUCUGGUCGCCGCCUGUGGACCGUCUAGAGACGCUGGGCCACACGGAGCAAAGCACUCAGGGGUUCAAGCAGCAUCAGACUUCCCCGCGAGGUUCCUCCACUGCCUUUGUCACCCGCCAGUGUGAAGUCUCCAACCCUCCCCGUGUGCAGUCUGCGCUUGGGAAUUUGUUGUUGUUUGUUAUAACCCAAAUAUACUUGAAAGGUAAAGCUUAAGAGCAAACUUACCUGGUGUGGGCACUGCAGCGUGAAGAGUUCUCUCACCCAUUGCUCUGUCCUCCUGCGCCUGGAUCCUCGAGAAACGGACUGUUCUUAGAAGCUGAAAGUCCAGCCGGAUUUACAGACAUCCAAGUAAGAGUCUGUGAGAACCGAAAUUGAAAGGACAUGCACUUUGUGGGGAGUUGACUGUUGGGGAUUUUCCUGUUUAUCAAGACAGGAAACUAAAGGAGCUUGAAAGUGCUGGUUCCUCCACACCAGACUCCUGAAACUCAGGUUUGUUGGUGGAAGGGACUUACCAUGUCUCAGACGAAACUUUGGACUGUGAACUUUUGAGUUAAUACUGCAAUGAGUUAAGACUGGUGAGUGUUCAAUAGCAAAGACUUGGAACCAACCCAAAUGUCCAACAACGAUAGACUGGAUUAAGAAAAUGUGGCACAUAUACACCAUGGAAUAUUAUGCAGCCAUAAAAAAUGAUGAGUUCAUGUCCUUUGUAGGGACAUGGAUGAAACUGGAAACCAUCAUUCUCAGCAAACUAUCGCAAGGACAAAAAACCAAACACCACAUGUUCUCACUCAUAGGUGGGAAUUGAACAAUGAGAACACAUGGACACAGGAAGGGGAACAUCACUCUCCGGGGACUGUUGUGGGGUCGGGGGAGAGGGGAGGGAUAGCAUUAGGAGAUAUACCUAAUGCUAAAUGACGAGUUAAUGGGUGUAGCACACCAACAUGGCACGUGUAUAUGUAACAAACCUGCACAUUGUGCACAUGUACCCUAAAACUUAAAGAAUAAUAAUAAUAAUAAUAAUAAUAAUAAUAAUAAAAAGACUGGUGAGUGUUAAGAAGGCAUAAUUGUAUUUUUCAAUGUGAAAAGGACAUGAAAUUUGGGAGGGACCAGGGGCAGAAUGGUAUGGUUUGAAUUUGUGUCCCCACCCAUCUCAUGUCAAAUUGGAGGAGAUGCCUGGUGGGAGGUGAUUGGUUCAUGGGGGACAAUUUCCUCCUUGCUAUUCUCAUGACAUUGAAUGAGCACUUAUGAGAUCUGAUGGCUUAAAAGGGUGUGGCACUUCCCCUUUCUCUUUCUCUCUCUCCGCUGUCACCAUGUGAAGAAGGUGCUUGCUUCCCCUUCGCCUUCUGCCAUGAUUGUAAGUUUCUUGAGGCCUCCUAGUCAUGCUUCCUGUUAAGCCCGUAGAACUGUGAAUCAAUUAAACCUCUUUUCUUCAUAAAUUACCCAGGCUCAGGUAGCUCUUUAUAGCAGUGUGGAAUGGACUAAUACAACAAGGUUCUUGAUAGACAACCUACAAAUGUUCUCUAUUGACUAAUCACAUGUAAACUUAUUAUAAUUCAUAGUAUUAUUUGAAUGGAUCUGUUAUUCCUGCAGGAUCGUCAAACCACUGAUCUGUUUUCAGACCAACCCAUCUAUUUACAGAUAUGAGUCUAAUUGGAAACUUCAGUACAUCUUAUAUAUUAUGACAUGCAUAAUCUUGACAUUCAGUUGUUAUCCUUAUUUUUUAUUCAUUAUAUAUUUUAUGAGCCC